rnacentral:lncRNA from 1 species
UUUUUUUCCCCUUCCCUUUUUUUUUCUUUGAUAUUUUCCAUCAAGCUUUGGGAAGAUGGUUUUGCUCUCUUGACAUCAAGAAUGGAAGGUUUGUUCUUUUAUUUUUGAAAAAUUAGAAUUAAAUUGUAUAUUUUUACGAUAAUAAAAAUGUAAAAAUCCGAAAUUUAAUACGAAAUUUAAAGGAUUAUAUUUUUUAACAUGUUUAAAAAUCUGAAUUUUUUGUUUAUUUCUGGUAGAAAAUAAUUAGAUUAGAGAAUCAUUAAUGUUAUUUAUGGAAAUUUAAGAUUGACUAUUCUUUAUUAAAAUAUACAACUACUUGUUGCAAUUCAAAUAUGCAAAAACCGAUUUAGGAUUUUGUUUUCCUCUUUGUUUCUUGAUGAUGAUGAUUGUACUGAUCCCACAUAUGCACCAAUUCUGGUAUAUGUUAGGGCAAGCACAGCAAAUCAAUAAGGAAAUGUUGGUAGAGGAAAGCCUUGGACCGGAAUUACCAACCUCAAGAUGUUUGGUCAACAAUAUUUUAAUCAAGCAUUAACUUGGUGGUAAGUGUUAGAGACAAGUUUCACCAGUGUUUUGAAAUUUUCAUUAGAGCUACCAUUGGGUUUAACAGCCUUGCAAGCCAGCUCUUUUUGAACUCUAAUUUUCUCUCUCAUUUUCUUCCCUUCUUGGCUGCACAAUAUCAACUUCAAUGCUUUCUUUGCUCCUUCUUUUGUCAAUGUUCCACCUUCUAACCCCAACCCAAAUCCCCAUACAACCUCCACUGUACGAGUGUUCAAUUGUUGGUCUCCAAAAAAUGGCCUGCAGAUCAUUGGCACACAUCCAUUAAUACUUUCCAGGACUGAAUUCCAUCCGACAUGACUUACAAAAGCCCCAACUGAUGGAUGUUCCAAUAUUUUCUGCUG